ACCAAGCUCUGAGUGCUCAUUUGGAAAAACAGCAACCCUUAUCCACCCAAUGGGGAUUCCUGAGCCUUGAUUUAUUAACAACUUGCUGGGUUCAAGUACACCUCAGCCACACCCUCUGACAUCCUCUACUAUUUAUUUGAAAUGUCCUUUGUGAUAAAACCCAGGCAACCUCGCCCUAGAAGGCCGAGGCUGCGCGGUUAUCACGGCCUGAGCGGAGCCUGCUCUGGUGGGGCCAGAGGAGACCAUAAUUGGAGGUUUUAUGGUUUUCUGCCACACUCCCAGCCCUGCAGCUGGGUCACCAGAGGUGAAGGUAAAUGGGAAAUGUGUCUGUGUUGUAGCUACCCUGGCAGCUCCUCUGGCUACGCGAGGCCUUGAACGUUUCACGAGGCAACAGAAGAAUGUUAAACACUCCCCUCCUCUCCCUCCUCAAGGUUGGCUGCUGCUUUCAUAACCCCUUGAAUCCCAGUAAAACUGCAUCAUUCCCAUGUAUUUAAGUGUGGAAACACUGAAAUGUUCAAAUGGCUGUGUCCCUUUGCUGCAAUUUUAUUAUUGUCAGAGAACGGUUCAAAGCUGUGGAAAGUGAUUGGAGUGUAAACAAAGUUUCAAACUUUGCUGCAGGAAUGCGUGUCUGCCCUGAGCUGAUGUGAAACCCUAGGUCUGAAUACCCCUCAAAUCUGGAUUCUUUCCAGAUCUAAAUUCUGCAUCGAGGUCCAGGGCGAGCAAUACCGAUAUCUGGAUUCACAAGCCAGCAAACAUGUAAACUAAACAGAGUUCCAAGUCCAGGACAGAAAAUUUCCACACUCCCCACUUAACCAAGCCCCUCUCUGUCUGAGCAGCCCUGAGGAUUAUUUUGCAUCGUUGAAGCAGCACAAAACAGCUCAGAGAUAAAAUGGACUUGAUGCAGGGACUGGGGUCCACAGGUCAGUUCCCAAUCUUAAGAAAAAGGCUGUGGAAGGAGAGCAGAAAUGGCAAGCCCUGAAGAAAAUCACCAGUCAAGGAAAAGGCUGGAUUGUGGGAACAACCUAAAAUGGCUUUUCCUUUGGGAUCUCAGCUGCAGUGACAUUGCUGGCUGCUCCAGAGGGCUCGGUGUCUUUGGGUCACGGAGCUGCCUUCUGGAAAACAACAGCUGGAACCAGAGAGGAGGAUGAACCACAGGGAGGAGGAAGGUCCUAAACAUCCUGCUUGCAGACUCUGCAGAGCAAGGCAAUGCAGUGCAGCCCAGCAGAACACACAAAUUCCAUCAGUGUUUUCAGAGAACUGCAUAUCAGAGUAGAUGAAGGAAACAAGUUUCA